AAGCAUGGAGCCUAGGACCCUAUUCAUAGGAAAAUAAGCCUCGAUCACCAAGGAUGUGAUUCAAUGCGGCACUUAAUAGUCCCGGAGUUCAUUCCAAUCGUGAAGGCGUUGGCCGCAGGCAGGAAACUUACGUUGGCUUUAUUUAUGCUCGCAUGCCUUGGUCGCAGUCUCUAUCACAUGCUGCAAGAACCAUUUAAUCGCUCCGCAGGUCCACUUUGGAUGCUCCAGCUUUGGAUCUACGCGUACUUUCCAGAUAUCGCGCUGGCUCAUUCUCUCAAUGCAGAUGCUACCUCUUAUGGCUUAAGGUAUCACGCCAUUCAAGUUUCGUCCUUGUCCUUUGAUGACUACUUCAAUCAUUUCUGGACUAGGACCACGAAAGAAUUCGUCAUUCCUUUUAUGGCACGCGACUAUGUACCCAACUGGUUCCACGCUCCUUAUGAUCCCGAGAAUCCUGGACAAGUGGAGAUUUGGGCGAGCUACCUAAUGUACCGCGAUCUCUUUUUCUCCUUCGAGUGCCACCCCAGGAUGAACAACUAAUGUGGUGUUGAAGCAUACUAUCCUUACCAGUGCGCAUGUCAAUUCGGUCUUUGACAAGAAAUUCCGGCGCCAGGUUUCUUUACUUGGAACGACGAUCUCCCCGAUCAAAUCUUAUUCAGAGACUGCGCUGAUGUCCAAGAAUUGAUGCUCGAGACCCACCGUAGAUUUUCCAAUUUCAAGCCAGCGGGUAUUUGCUGUAAUCAACCAGGUUAUUCACCUUCAGCCUGCAGUUGGCGGAACUUGUUCUUCAUGAACCGUUUCAACUAUCUCAAGGAAGAGAUCCUCUCACGAAUUUGGCCCCCAGCUGAACUGUUGGUAACCCGCUUUAUUGCUACUCUCGAAGCUUUGAAGCUGAAUGCAAGGGGCCCCUAUGCCGUGCGGCGAACGAAGCAUCCAUCUCCAAUGAAGCUUGUGUCAUCAUCUGUGGAGCGUUCGGCUUUUCCACGAGCCCGCACAAGAUCAGAUUUGCAAUUGUUGCUAGGGAAAAAGCGUCCGCUAGCAAGUAGUCAAGAGUACCGCAUCUGGAAGCCAGAAGCAACUUUUCCACGAUAAACGUGUCAUCGAAAUCGAUUCUCCCCCAUGGGACAUUACUGAUGAUUGCAUAACUCCGGUCGGAGAAACCGGCGUGGCUGAAACAACUGCUGUGAAGGCAAUACAAAUUUUUCUUACUUACACCAAUUUUCCACGAACCAUUUACUUUUGAACUUUGCGUCUUUGCAGGAUACGUCUUCCUUGAACUCCAAAUCCACAGUUACCAAUAAGAUUAAUUUAGAUGACGAUCCUGAUUUGGAUGCUGCAGAAUUUCAAGUGCUUUCACAGCUCAAAGAUUUCCUAGAUGGAACUCCUAAAGCCACCGAUAUGAUCCGUCCGACUGAUGAUACAAUCGACGUGGCCAAGGAGACUAUCAAAGAGUUCCUUUUUCGACAUUUUUUUACCGAUGAGGUUCCAAAUCACAUGGACAUCAUGAAUGCAGCCUAUACUCUCUCAUUUGCAGAUUCCCUUUCCAAGGAACAGAAAGAAUUCUGGAAGCACUUCAAGAUGGAGUUCCUUGGUUUGUCAUCGUCUUAUGAAGCUGGCUUCUCCACCCUGAAUGAAGCUGAAAAGACAAUGGAGACACGAGAUUCUGAAGCUGACUAAAUCAAGAUGGAGACAGGGACUCUUGAGAAGCUAAACAAUGAGAGAAAGGCCAUCAUGGAUCAAGUCAAAGAAAGGGAAGCUGUUAGAGAAAAGCUACUAGCUGAAGCGACAACAAUUAAAGAGCAAAAUGAAUCCGAUGCACAGCAUUUGGAAAAUUUAUUGACCCAAUGCCGCGAUCUUAUCAAGUUUCUCCAAGUUCGAUCAUCAGACUUAUCUAAACUCGGUCCCAAUGCCAAGAAUGCCGAAGCGAAUUGAGCAGCCUCACUUGCUCAGAUUAAAAAGUUGGAAGAUGAAUGGAACACAUGGAAGAAGUACUCCCAUAGAAGCUUUUAUGUACUUAAGAAAAUAAAGUUAGAAGGAAUGUCUCCCUGCACAUGCAUUUUAUUUUUAGAUGUCAAUAGGAUUAUUGCUAAAUAAAUGAAUAAAACUACGCGGUCUUUUCUUCCUCAA